ACAAAGGGCAGCAAGUUCGCGAGGACAAGCAAAUCCCAUAAACCGUGGCUCAGUUCAGAUCGUAGGCUGCAACUCGCCUACGUGAAGGAGGAAUCGCUAGUAAUCGCAGGUCAGCAUACUGCGGUGAAUACGUUCCCGGGCCUUGUACACACCGCCCGUCACACCAUGGAAGUUGGCCACGCCCGAAGCCGUUACUCCAACCCUUGUGGAGGAGGACGUCGAAGGUGGGGCUGAUGACUGGGGUGAAGUCGUAACAAGGUAUCCGUACCGGAAGGUGCGGAUGGAUCACCUCCUAAC
rnacentral:rRNA from 1 species